GGUACUAAGCCGGAUUAACGGAUAACACUGAUGAAGUUAAAUAUGAAUUAUUUUCUAGUACCU
rnacentral:tRNA from 1 species